rnacentral:rRNA from 1 species
UACGAAGGGGGCUAGCGUUGCUCGGAAUUACUGGGCGUAAAGCGCACGUAGGCGGCUUUCUAAGUCGGGGGUGAAAUCCUGGAGCUCAACUCCAGAACUGCCUUCGAUACUGGAGCUUGAGUCCGGGAGAGGUGAGUGGAACUGCGAGUGUAGAGGUGAAAUUCGUAGAUAUUCGCAAGAACACCAGUGGCGAAGGCGGCUCACUGGCCCGGUACUGACGCUGAGGUGCGAAAGCGUGGGGAGCAACA